ACACAUGCAGUCGAACGGAGAAUCAGCAAUGGUUCUUAGUGGCGAACGGGUGAGUAACGCGUAGACAACCUGCCUCAAAGAUGGGGACAACACCGCGAAAGUGGUGCUAAUACCGAAUGUUGCAUUGGAUUCGCAUGAAUCUGAUACUAAAGGUGGCCUCUUUAAAUGCUACCGCUUUGAGAUGGGUCUGCGUCUGAUUAGCUAGUUGGUGAGGUAACAGCUCACCAAGGCGAUGAUCAGUAGCCGGUCUGAGAGGAUGAACGGCCACACUGGGACUGAGACACGGCCCAGACUCCUACGGGAGGCAGCAGUGGGGAAUCUUCCGCAAUGGACGAAAGUCUGACGGAGCAACGCCGCGUGAGUGAAGAAGGUUUUCGGAUCGUAAAGCUCUGUCUUUGAGGACGAAUGUGCUUAAUGUAAAUAAUGUUAAGUAAUGACGGUACUCGAGGAGGAAGCCACGGCUAACUACGUGCCAGCAGCCGCGGUAAUACGUAGGUGGCAAGCGUUGUCCGGAAUUAUUGGGCGUAAAGCGCGCGCAGGCGGGAUAUUAAGUCUGUCUUAAAAGUUCGGGGCUCAACCCCGUGAUGGGAUGGAAACUAAUAUUCUUGAGUGCAGGAGAGGAAAGUGGAAUUCCCAGUGUAGCGGUGAAAUGCGUAGAUAUUGGGAGGAACACCAGUGGCGAAGGCGACUUUCUGGACUGUGUCUGACGCUGAGGCGCGAAAGCCAGGGGAGUGAACGGGAUUAGAUACCCCGGUAAUCCUGGCCGUAAACGAUGGGUACUAGGUGUAGGAGGUAUCGACCCCUUCUGUGCCGGAGUUAACGCAAUAAGUACCCCGCCUGGGGAGUACGGCCGCAAGGUUGAAACUCAAGGAAUUGACGGGGGCCCGCACAAGCGGUGGAGUAUGUGGUUUAAUUCGACGCAACGCGAAGAACCUUACCAGGACUUGACAUCGAUUGAAGUUCUAGAGAUAGAACCCUUCUCUUCGGAAAA
rnacentral:rRNA from 1 species